UUCACUAAAGUCCUCAAAAUUAAGGAGUUCGAUGAUCAUAAGUGGAAGAUGGGUAUUAGAUACUAUUUUGAUUGGAUUUAGUCCAAGUGAGAAUUGUUGAGAAAUAUAUCCUAAAGCCAAUCGUCUAUUUAUAAAUGAUUGUGCUAUUUAUAAAUUAUAUAUAAAUUAUUAAUUAAUAAAAAUUAUUUGAUAUUUUCAUCAU
rnacentral:lncRNA from 1 species